GACGAGCGCUGGCGGCGUGCCUAAUACAUGCAAGUUGAGCGCUGAAGGUUGGUACUUGUACCAACUGGAUGAGCAGCGAACGGGUGAGUAACGCGUGGGGAAUCUGCCUUUGAGCGGGGGACAACAUUUGGAAACGAAUGCUAAUACCGCAUAAAAACUUUAAACACAAGUUUUAAGUUUGAAAGAUGCAAUUGCAUCACUCAAAGAUGAUCCCGCGUUGUAUUAGCUAGUUGGUGAGGUAAAGGCUCACCAAGGCGAUGAUACAUAGCCGACCUGAGAGGGUGAUCGGCCACAUUGGGACUGAGACACGGCCCAAACUCCUACGGGAGGCAGCAGUAGGGAAUCUUCGGCAAUGGACGAAAGUCUGACCGAGCAACGCCGCGUGAGUGAAGAAGGUUGUCGGAUCGUAAAACUCUGUUGGUAGAGAAGAACGUUGGUGAGAGUGGAAAGCUCAUCAAGUGACGGUAACUACCCAGAAAGGGACGGCUAACUACGUG
rnacentral:rRNA from 1 species